UACGUAGGCAGCGAGCGUUGUUCGGAGUUACUGGGCGUAAAGAGUGCGUAGGCGGUUUUCUAAGUUUGGUGUGAAAUCUCCCGGCUCAACUGGGAGGGUGCGCCGAAGACUGGAAGGCUCAGAGUGUGGGAGAGGUAAGCGGAAUUCCUGGUGUAGCGGUGAAAUUCGUAGAUAUCGGGAGGAACACCGGUGGCGAAGGCGACCAUCUGGACGGAUACUGACGCUGAGACGCGAAAGCGUGGGUAGCAAACAGG
rnacentral:rRNA from 1 species